rnacentral:rRNA from 1 species
GCACCGGCUAACUCCGUGCCAGCAGCCGCGGUAAUACGGAGGGUGCGAGCGUUAAUCGGAAUUACUGGGCGUAAAGCGCAUGCAGGUGGUUUGUUAAGUCAGAUGUGAAAGCCCGGGGCUCAACCUCGGAAUAGCAUUUGUAAACUGGCAGACUAGAGUAACUGUAGAGGGGGGGUAGGAAUUUCAGGUGUAGCGGUGAAAUGCGUAGAGAUCUGAAGGAAUACCGGUGGCGAAGGCGGCCCCCUGGACAGAUACUGACACUCACGAUGCGAAAGCGUGGGGACGCAAACAGGAUUAGACUACCCUGGUAG